rnacentral:rRNA from 1 species
UUGCCCUAGUAACGGCGAGUGAAGCGGCAACAGCUCAAAUUUGAAAUCUGGCGUCUUUGGCGUCCGAGUUGUAAUUUGCAGAGGGCGCUUUGGCAUUGGCAGCGGUCCAAGUUCCUUGGAACAGGACGUCACAGAGGGUGAGAAUCCCGUACGUGGUCGCUAGCCUUUACCGUGUAAAGCCCCUUCGACGAGUCGAGUUGUUUGGGAAUGCAGCUCUAAAUGGGAGGUAAAUUUCUUCUAAAGCUAAAUACUGGCCAGAGACCGAUAGCGCACAAGUAGAGUGAUCGAAAGAUGAAAAGCACUUUGGAAAGAGAGUUAAAAAGCACGUGAAAUUGUUGAAAGGGAAGCGCUUGCAGCCAGACUUGCCUGUAGUUGCUCAUCCGGGUUUUUACCCGGUGCACUCUUCUGCGGGCAGGCCAGCAUCAGUUUGGGCGGUUGGAUAAAGGUCUCUGUCAUGUACCUCUCUUCGGGGAGAACUUAUAGGGGAGACGACAUGCAACCAGCCUGGACUGAGGUCCGCGCAUCUGCUAGGAUGCUGGCGUAAUGGCUGUAAGCGGCCCGUCUUGAAACACGGACCAAGGAGUCUAACAUCUAUGCGAGUGUUUGGGUGUCAAGCCCGAACGCGUAAUGAAAGUGAACGGAGGUGGGAACCCCUCGGGGUGCACCAUCGACCGAUCCUGAUGUCUUCGGAUGGAUUUGAGUAAGAGCAUAGCUGUUGGGACCCGAAAGAUGGUGAACUAUGCUUGAAUAGGGUGAAGCCAGAGGAAACUCUGGUGGAGGCUCGCAGCGGUUCUGACGUGCAAAUCGAUCGUCAAAUUUGGGCAUAGGGGCGAAAG